rnacentral:rRNA from 1 species
GACGAACGCUGGCGGCGUGCUUAACACAUGCAAGUCGAACGGAAAGGCCUGCUUUCCCUGGUGGAUUGCGGGUACUCGAGUGGCGAACGGGUGAGUAACACGUGAGUGAUCUGCCCCCAACUUGGGUAUAAGCCUGGGAAACUGGGUCUAAUUCCCGAUAGGACCGCAGGGUGGUGCAUGUGGUGGAAACCGAUUUACCAGUGGCUGGGGAUGCGCUCGCGGCCUAUCAGCUUGCUGGUGGGGUAGUGGCCUACCAAGGCGGCGACGGGUAGCCGGCGGGGGAUGGUGGACGGCGGCAUUGGGACUGGGCCCCGGCCCCGACGCCUACGGGAGGCAGCGGUUGUGACUAUUGCACAGUGAGCGUGAUCCUGAUGCAGCGACUCCGUGUGGAGGAUGUCGGCCUUCGGGUUGUAAGCUCCUUGCGACCGCGAGGAAGCCACCUGGUUGGAAGGGUGGUGACGGUAGUGGUAGAAGAAGCACCGGCUAACUACGUG